UACAGAGGGUGCAAGCGUUAAUCGGAAUUACUGGGCGUAAAGCGUGCGUAGGUGGUUUACUAAGUCAGGUGUGAAAUCCCCGGGCUCAACCUGGGAACUGCGCUUGAUACUGGUAAACUAGAGUUUAGUAGAGGGAAGUGGAAUUCCGAGUGUAGAGGUGAAAUUCGUAGAUAUUCGGAAGAACACCAGUGGCGAAGGCGACUGACUGGACAAGUAUUGACGCUGAGGUACGAAAGCGUGGGGAGCAAACAGG
rnacentral:rRNA from 1 species